rnacentral:rRNA from 1 species
AACGAACGCUGGCGGCAUGCCUAACACAUGCAAGUCGAACGAGACCUUCGGGUCUAGUGGCGCACGGGUGCGUAACGCGUGGGAACCUGCCCUUAGGUUCGGAAUAACUCCCCGAAAGGGGUGCUAAUACCGGAUAAUGUCUUCGGACCAAAGAUUUAUCGCCUUUGGAUGGGCCCGCGUUGGAUUAGCUAGUUGGUAGGGUAAAAGCCUACCAAGGCGACGAUCCAUAGCUGGUCUGAGAGGAUGAUCAGCCACACUGGGACUGAGACACGGCCCAGACUCCUACGGAAGGCAGCAGUGGGGGAUAUUGGACAAUGGGCGAAGGCCUGAUCCAGCAAUGCCGCGUGAGUGAUGAAGGCCGUGGGGUUGUAAAGCUCUUUUACCCGGGAUGAUAAUGACAGUACCGGGAGAAUAAGCUCCGGCUAACUCCGUG